UACGAAGGGGGCUAGCGUUGCUCGGAAUUACUGGGCGUAAAGGGCGCGUAGGCGGCUUGGCCAGUCAGGCGUGAAAUUCCUGGGCUUAACCUGGGGACUGCGCUUGAUACUGCCAGGCUUGAGGCCGAGAGAGGGUGGUGGAAUUCCCAGUGUAGAGGUGAAAUUCGUAGAUAUUGGGAAGAACACCGGUGGCGAAGGCGACCACCUGGCUCGGUACUGACGCUGAGGCGCGACAGCGUGGGGAGCAAACAGGAUUAGAUACCCUGGUAGUCCACGCCGUAAACGAUGUGUGCUGGAUGUUGGGGCUCCUAGAGUCUCAGUGUCGUAGCUAACGCGGUAAGCACACCGCCUGGGGAGUACGGCCGCAAGGUUGAA
rnacentral:rRNA from 1 species